rnacentral:rRNA from 1 species
UACGUAGGUGGCAAGCGUUGUCCGGAUUUACUGGGCGUAAAGCGCGCGCAGGCGGCUAUCCAAGUCAGUGGUGAAAGCCCGGAGCUCAACUCCGGAACUGCCAUUGAAACUGUUUAGCUUGAGGAUGAGAGAGGUGAGUGGAAUUCCCAGUGUAGAGGUGAAAUUCGUAGAUAUUGGGAAGAACACCGGUGGCGAAGGCGGCUCACUGGCCCGAUACUGACGCUGAGGUGCGAAAGCGUGGGGAGCAAACAGG